CCACUGACUGUAAAACUGUACGUUGUACUGCACGCUUAUACUUUUCUUGGCCAGGUUGCUGUUGCAAAUGAGAACCUGUUAUCAACGGCCUACCUGGUUAAAUAAAGCUAAAUCUAAAGCA